UCAGUGAUAUAACCAGGAUCCAGUCAUGCAAAAACUAUCUGCUUGGAGUAGUAAAGGUUCCAACAAAAGAUCUGCUGGUCAAGAGAUCUGGGAUCACAGGAUGGUAUCCUGUCAUUUUACCGGAAGAUGAAGGCCUGCAUCAGGGCCUGGAAUUUAUGCAGAAGAUUGUGGGAGGCCUGGAGCUUUCUGUCUCCUUCACGCAUCCCGGAGAUAGAGAGCGGGUGUUGGAAGCUGCUGAGCUGUUGGGCUGGAGCUUUGAGGAUACCCCAAAGGAUCUUGUCAAAAUGGAAGAAGAGGUGCCAGCCACUGUCACCAUCUCCACCCCCAGACUCUGGCUCCCUCUCCACUGUGUGCUGCUCGCUGGUCAUAAGAACAUUCAUAAGAAUACAUAUUGCUACCUUCGCUACAAGCUAUACAAUCAAGAAGCCUUU
rnacentral:lncRNA from 1 species